AAAGUUGAAGACAUGAUGAAAGUGCACGUUUGAUAAAUGUCUCAGAGGUCUGUGACAGAAGAGAUGCCACUAAACCCUCAUUGGAUCUGAGGUCACUUGGUUUAUUCAUGUGGUGGGGUAUACUCCCCUAGUACAGAGCAAAGUGUAGUGUUGGUGAAUGCAGCGUUGAAUCGACUCCUCCACCAAUAAAUUCCCGAAUCAGGGCCAAGCCGUGAGACACCUGUGUGCCAUUGUUCUGCCUCUGCUUCCUGCCCUCCAUGUUUAGGUUCAAAUAUUUCUCGGGCUUCCAAGUCCCCAGGUGGUGUUGUUCGGCUUCCCUCCUGAAUUCCCCCACUCCUCCUGCCCUUAGUGCUCCUCGCUGUCACAGUUCAUCUCUGCCUCACCACUCUGCACCUGCCUGCUUCAGUCUGCCAAUCAGACACACCCCUCUCAUCAAGCCAACUCCUCUCACCUGUGCUCUCUGCGCUGCUCUGGCUGCAGCUCCACACUCACUCAUUGGCAGAUUGUUCUUGAUGCUUGCACCAGGCUCUCCAGCGUUCCUCUGCCUGAUCUCCCGGUUCUGACCAUGCUUGCCUCCGACUGUCCUGCCUUACCGAUUUCCUGGAAAUCACCUCAGCCUUCCGUACCCGACCACAAUCCUCACCUGUCCCUUUCUGGGUUCUGCCUGCCUGCUCCCUUGGCUAUCUGGUGAUUACCUGAUUCAUCUCUACAGAGUGUUACUCCUGUCUCUUCCUGCAGUUCUGUGACUCUGAUUAUUCCUUCACUGAGGGAGUACGAGACUGAGGUUCACGGACAUUACUCACCAGUGUCCUGGUUUGGUUCAGCUGAAUGCCAACCCCCACCAGAGACUGUUAAAGGCCAGCGGCUAGAAGUCAGUUUUGCCUACUGUCACUGUUUCCUGCACAUGUGCUAAUAAAGUUUGUUACCAACGAUA